rnacentral:lncRNA from 1 species
UGUAUUAGAGUUGGCAAUACAGCUUGAACGCUUGUUUAUUUUAAUAGGUAUACAAAGAAAUAAAUAUGUAUACAUAAGCGUAUACAAACAUAUGUGCUGGCAGCUGGAAGUUUGCUGGGGCCCUUGAAAAAAAAAAAAAAAAAAGGGGUGAAAGGACCUCUUCCCAGGGAACAGUAGGCUUAUUAUUGGGACGCAGCUCUUCUACUCUAAAAGGACUUAUGAUAAGUCCUGGGGUAAUUGAUCCUGA